rnacentral:rRNA from 1 species
GGUUAAAGCUUCCUAUGAACUAAUCCUGUUUGAUCUUGAAAAUCUAAGCAAAAUCAGACUUUGUCAGUAUUUCAAUGGGAGACCACCAGGAAAUCCCGGGGCUGUGGUCU